GAUGAACGCUGGCGGCGUGCCUAAUACAUGCAAGUCGAGCGAACGGACGAGAAGCUUGCUUUUCUGAUGUUAGCGGCGGACGGGUGAGUAACACGUGGAUAACCUACCUAUAAGACUGGGAUAACUUCGGGAAACCGGAGCUAAUACCGGAUAAUAUUUUGAACCGCAUGGUUCAAAAGUGAAAGACGGUCUUGCUGUCACUUAUAGAUGGAUCCGCGCUACAUUAGCUAGUUGGUAAGGUAACGGCUUACCAAGGCAACGAGGCAUAGCCGACCUGAGAGGGAGAUCGCACACACGGGAACUGAGACACGGUCCAGACUCCUAAGGGAGGAAGCAGUAGGGAAUCCUACGCAAUGGGCGAAAGCCUGACGGAGCAACGCCGCGUGAGUGCUGAAGGUCUUCGGAUCGUAAAACUCUGUUAUUAGGGAAGAACAUAUGUGUAAGUAACUGUGCACAUCUUGACGGUACCUAAUCAGAAAGCCACGGCUAACUACGUG
rnacentral:rRNA from 1 species